AGCUAGUUAGUCUAGUAGUACGAUUCUUAACUACUAUUUAAAAGGUCGUAGGUUCGAAUCCUAUACUAGCUA
rnacentral:tRNA from 1 species